AUUGAACGCUGGCGGCAGGCCUAACACAUGCAAGUCGAGCGGAUGAAGGGAGCUUGCUCCUGGAUUCAGCGGCGGACGGGUGAGUAAUGCCUAGGAAUCUGCCUGGUAGUGGGGGAUAACGUCCGGAAACGGGCGCUAAUACCGCAUACGUCCUGAGGGAGAAAGUGGGGGAUCUUCGGACCUCACGCUAUCAGAUGAGCCUAGGUCGGAUUAGCUAGUUGGUGGGGUAAAGGCCUACCAAGGCGACGAUCCGUAACUGGUCUGAGAGGAUGAUCAGUCACACUGGAACUGAGACACGGUCCAGACUCCUACGGGAGGCAGCAGUGGGGAAUAUUGGACAAUGGGCGAAAGCCUGAUCCAGCCAUGCCGCGUGUGUGAAGAAGGUCUUCGGAUUGUAAAGCACUUUAAGUUGGGAGGAAGGGCAGUAAGUUAAUACCUUGCUGUUUUGACGUGACCAACAGAAUAAGCACCGGCGAACUUCGG
rnacentral:rRNA from 1 species